UACGGAGGGUGCGAGCGUUGUCCGGAAUCAUUGGGCGUAAAGGGCGCGUAGGUGGCGGCUUAAGCGUGCGGUGAAAGCUCGGGGCUCAACCCCGAGUCGGCCGUGCGAACUGAGUCGCUUGAGCACUGUAGAGGCAGGCGGAAUUCCGGGUGUAGCGGUGGAAUGCGUAGAGAGUCCGGAAGAACACCGGUGGCGAAGGCGGCCUGCUGGGCAGUAGCUGACACUGAGGCGCG
rnacentral:rRNA from 1 species